ACAACUCUUCUACAUUCCAAUCCUACGAUUCAAAGUUCCCAGCCACCGCAACCUGUUCGUAACCGUCGACGUUAAACUUUGCAAUCACUACAAGCUUUCAACGACUUCUUAAUCCUUCUGUUCUUAAUCCUUCUGCAUAUAAUACAUAUAUGGACUAGAAGGCAUGAAUCCACGUAUCUCAUCGUUUCUCAGUUUUCUCCUCUCCAAAACUCUCUCUAAGGGCGAGUUUGACUAUGGCGAUUCUUUAACUGAUUCUGUCUGAUUUGAAGGCUGGUCUUAUCAGCAGGCUCCUUUGUUGUUGGGAAGGAAUAAGGUCGAGAGCUUAUUGGAAUUGAAAAGAAUCCAGUGGUCAAGUUUGUAGGAGUGGUAAACGCGAAAGAAAAAGUUAUAGCAGAAACGAUGCAUCAACUCUCCCUGGAGAUCAAUGGGGUUAAUAAGAAGAAAUUUUAUAAAGCAAAAAUGUGGGUGAGCCAAUGUUGAACUUCAAGGAGUUGCAGGAGUUCAAGCCUGUCGGUGAUGAUGCCCCUACCACUACUACAAACUUGGCUGAAAAUAAGGACAGAUGAGCAUGAAUCUAGAUGGGGAACUUCCAUGAGAUGAUCCACUACAUUACUUUGCUGUUCAUGCUGUCAAGAGCAUCCAAAACAGAUCUAACUCUUUGCUACUUUAUGAACUUCAAUAGGGUGUGCAUGCAACCCUGAGUCUUUUCCCGCUUCAGGUUUGAGUAAACUUUCUGAGUAGUUUCAUAUUUUGUUCCAACAGACCGAUUUGAGGUUUAUAGAGCUUCGUAGAUGACAUCAGGACUGUCGUGUAUACAUGCUUUGGAGAUGUGUGCUUUUUGAGCUGUGAAACAUGACUACUAUAUAGUGGAGUUAUACGGGCAUGAGAUAUCUUUCAAAUGGAAAACCUCAGAAAAUGGAAACGUACAUCAACACAUAUUUCAAUCCGCUAUCCUAAUGGAGUUUAUAGAAGGAUGAUCUUCUUUUUUUUUUUGAUCAAUAGAAGGAGGAUCUCUAAAGGUAUCUUCUUUCUUUGAAAUUUUAAGUCUAUAUAUAUAAGCCCCUCCAACUU